GAGUGAGUAGCUUAAAAUUAAAGCAUAAACUUUUUAAGUUUAAGAUGGUUUUCCUUACUUAAGUUA
rnacentral:tRNA from 1 species